UACGUAGGGUGCGAGCGUUGUCCGGAAUUAUUGGGCGUAAAGAGCUCGUAGGCGGUUUGUUGCGUCUAUCGUGAAAACCUGCGGCUUAACUGUGGGCUUGCGGUGGAUACGGGCAGACUUGAGUUCGGUAGGGGAGACUGGAAUUCCUGGUGUAGCGGUGAAAUGCGCAGAUAUCAGGAGGAACACCGAUGGCGAAGGCGGUUCUCUGGGCAUGUUCUGACGCUGAGGAGCGAAAGUGUGGGGAGCGAACAGG
rnacentral:rRNA from 1 species